UUCUCUUGUCCUUCAUUCCACCGGAGUCUGUCUCGUACCCAACCAGAUUUCAGUGGAGUGAAGUUCAGGAGGCG
rfam:Pteropus alecto contig20270, whole genome shotgun sequence.